rnacentral:rRNA from 1 species
GCCGAAAGGCGUAGUCGAUGGGAAACGGGUUAAUAUUCCCGUACUUGGUGUUACUGCGAAGGGGGGACGGAGAAGGCUAUGUUGGCCGGGCGACGGUUGUCCCGGUUUAAGCGUGUAGGUGUGUGUUCCAGGUAAAUCCGGUUCACUUUAACACUGAGGCGUGACGACGAGGCACUACGGUGCUGAAGCAACAAAUGCCCUGCUUCCAGGAAAAGCCUCUAAGCAUCAGGUAACAUCAAAUCGUACCCCAAACCGACACAGGUGGUCAGGUAGAGAAUACCAAGGCGCUUGAGAGAACUCGGGUGAAGGAACUAGGCAAAAUGGUGCCGUAACUUCGGGAGAAGGCACGCUGACACGUAGGUGAAGUGAUUUACUCAUGGAGCUGAAGUCAGUCGAAGAUACCAGCUGGCUGCAACUGUUUAUUAAAAACACAGCACUGUGCAAACACGAAAGUGGACGUAUACGGUGUGACGCCUGCCCGGUGCCGGAAGGUUAAUUGAUGGGGUCAGCGCAAGCGAAGCUCCUGAUCGAAGCCCCGGUAAACGGCGGCCGUAACUAUAACGGUCCUAAGGUAGCGAAAUUCCUUGUCGGGUAAGUUCCGACCUGCACGAAUGGCGUAAUGAUGGCCAGGCUGUCUCCACCCGAGACUCAGUGAAAUUGAACUCGCUGUGAAGAUGCAGUGUACCCGCGGCAAGACGGAAAGACCCCGUGAACCUUUACUAUAGCUUGACACUGAACAUUGAGCCUUGAUGUGUAGGAUAGGUGGGAGGCUUUGAAGUGUGGACGCCAGUCUGCAUGGAGCCGACCUUGAAAUACCACCCUUUAAUGUUUGAUGUUCUAACGUGGACCCGUUACCCGGGUUGCGGACAGUGUCUGGUGGGUAGUUUGACUGGGGCGGUCUCCUCCUAAAGAGUAACGGAGGAGCACGAAGGUUGGCUAAUCCUGGUCGGACAUCAGGAGGUUAGUGCAAUGGCAUAAGCCAGCUUGACUGCGAGCGUGACGGCGCGAGCAGGUGCGAAAGCAGGUCAUAGUGAUCCGGUGGUUCUGAAUGGAAGGGCCAUCGCUCAACGGAUAAAAGGUACUCCGGGGAUAACAGGCUGAUACCGCCCAAGAGUUCAUAUCGACGGCGGUGUUUGGCACCUCGAUGUCGGCUCAUCACAUCCUGGGGCUGAAGUAGGUCCCAAGGGUAUGGCUGUUCGCCAUUUAAAGUGGUACGCGAGCUGGGUUUAGAACGUCGUGAGACAGUUCGGUCCCUAUCUGCCGUGGGCGCUGGAGAACUGAGGGGGGCUGCUCCUAGUACGAGAGGACCGGAGUGGACGCAUCACUGGUGUUCGGGUUGUCAUGCCAAUGGCACUGCCCGGUAGCUAAAUGCGGAAGAGAUAAGUGCUGAAAGCAUCUAAGCACGAAACUUGCCCCGAG